rnacentral:rRNA from 1 species
CCUACGGGAGGCAGCAGUGAGGAAUAUUGGUCAAUGGCCGGAAGGCUGAACCAGCCAUGCCGCGUGAAGGUCAGUGCCCUAUGGGCGUUAAACUUCUUUUGUGCGGGAGCAAUAAUGGUCACGUGUGGCCAGACGAGAGUACCGUACGAAUAAGCAUCGGCUAACUCCGUGCCAGCAGCCGCGGUAAUACGGGGGAUGCAAGCGUUAUCCGGAUUUAUUGUGUUUAAAGGGUGCGUAGGCUGUGAGGUAAGUCAGCGGUGAAAUGCCCCCGCUCAACGGGGUGAAGUGCCAUUGAUACUGCCUGGCUGGAAUGCGGAUGCCGUGGGAGGAAUGUGUGGUGUAGCGGUGAAAUGCAUAGAUAUCACACAGAACACCGAUUGCGAAGGCAUCUCACGAAGCCGCGAUUGACGCUGAUGCACGAAAGCGUGGGUAUCAAACAGGAUUAGAUACCCUAGUAGUC